rnacentral:misc_RNA from 1 species
UAAGGGAGCAAUCACGUCUUUUAUGAUUCAGUCAUAGAAGGGCGGAUGCAGCCUAGAAUUAGGCGGAUUACGUGAUCGCAUACCGCCCCUGGGUAUGCUGUUGAUGUGGUGCUGCUGUCUGAGCAGUCUUAGUUCGUACUCUGCUGCAGCGCUGUUUGCUCUCUUCUUGUCCUGAGCUUUUGGCAACGGACGUCCCAAUUCAGUUUUGAGGGGCAGCUCUAGAGGCUGUCAUUGUUCUUUACAAUUUCAUACGGGUAGACGAGCAACAAAAGCUGAGAAAUACUCAAGCGAAUAGAGACCUCUACAAUUUUUGAGAAAAGAUUAAGUUACUAAGGGCGCACGGUGGAUGCCCUGGCGCUGAUAGGCGAUGAGGGACGUGGUAUAGCUGCGAUAAGCUUCGGGGAGUUGCUAAACGAGCAUUGAUCCGGAGAUUUCCGAAUGGGGAAACCCGG